AAUAAUAUCAAUCAAAUUCCACUCAGCAACAAGCUGAUUAAAUAUCAGCAUCCUAAGCAAACUGCCUGUGUUUACACUAGAUGGUGUAAUUGAGUCACUGAUGGGCUGCCUCUGAAACAGAUUCAUUAGCUGUUUAUCAGUGAAAGACCAUAUCUACACUCUACAGGGAAGUGUACAAUAUAAAGCACAAACCUCUGUGUAGAGCUUUUUUUUUUAUCAAAUAGGGCAAAUGUAAAUAAAAGCACCUGAAACACAUAAAGAUAUGAUUCGUAACGUGUGUGGUAUGUGUGAGGUCAGCAGAGGUUUUUCUUCCUCAUAAUCUGUAACGUUGCACAGAUGCACAGGCCAGUAGAGUAAUAUCUCGACAGUUCACUGCAAAAGAUUGACGAAGCAUCAGUGUUUUUGUUCUAAAUCAGCGACAGUCGGCGGUGAAGCAGCUCAAGAAUUUACUUCAUUGCAUAACUUCACUGAUGUUCCUGAAGUGGCCACAGAGCUUCUCUGCAGGGGAUGAGGAUGGAUAACUGAAACCAAUGAACAUGCAACAAAGGACCUGAGUCAAAACCAAACCCAGGACAAUGCAGUAACCCAGCAUCCAUCAUUACUGGACACCCUUUUCUUUCCCACCAUUCUAACAGCUACAUCAUCUCAGGCGGUCACAUCAGCAUCGCUACUGACAAUAAUCAAACGUGUUGCUGAUCUGUUUGCUUUUUCCCUUGCUCUUUGACCACAGAAGCCUGUUAUAGAGGGGUCUUUAUUUAGCCCUAUGGGUUGUUGCCUUGGCCUGUUCUUCGCUUAUUAAAGGUUAAAGGAUUGUUCUGCAUUUAGGUGACGGGCACGGAUGUGG
rnacentral:lncRNA from 1 species